CAGAAAUAACAAUAAAAUAAAUUGCUUACCUUUGAAGAUCUUCCUCUGGUGACAAUGCCAAGUGUAUAAGCUAAACAAUUAAUGUUCUUUUUGUUUGAUAAAAUCAAUUUUUAUAGCCUAACAUCGAAACAUUUGUAAACCGCUUGCGUCGUGACUUCCGUCUCAUUCAACUUUGGACAAAACAUUUGUGGUAAUUACACACACUAAACAAACGUUUAUCCAGUCAAGGUUGGUUACAUUGCAAUCCUCUGGGUGUUAGUAGCACAACCAAACUCAUGGUUCUUUUCCCGGGACAUAUUGACUGAAACAAACCGAUUUGAAGACACCAAUCAAUGACCUCAUUGCGGUCCAAUGGUAGGACCGGUCUAUUGUUGAUUGACUGUAUUUUGGCCCAAUGACCACUGAUCAUCUUGAAGUCUAGCUUAGAAGAUAGCCAAUGAGCUGAGGUAAACGGCAAUAUGUAAUGGUUAUACGUUCGAAGACCAGCCUUUGUCGUAAACUCUGGCGUAAAAGAGGUUCAUUCACCAUUGCAAAUCCUACUUGACGGAGCCACGAGUGUUACGCAUAGCAGUACAUAGUCAAUAGCAUUUUCAGCAAGUUUAUAUAUUUAACUUUUGCAGAGGCAUCUUCCUGGGUUCCACAAAAAAAACACAAAACAUGACAAGUAACAAAACACUGAGAGUCACACAAAUGUAAAAUAAAACGAUAUACAAACAAUAAAACAAAUCUAUGUAUGUAUGUGUAUAUAUUAUGAGUACAUUAUAAUAAUGCAUCCAGAAAUGUAUCUGACACCUCUCUUUCUAGGACAGACAUUAUGCAAAUUAACUCCCUCCCUCUGCUGUAUCAAUGACCUAUUCUGACACAAAUUUCAUCCCUGCAACCACCCUGUCUGUCAGUACCCAGGCAGACAUCGUCUGCCAUACAACAGAGAAACAUGUUUCUUACAUCUCUCCUCCUCCUGGCCUUCCUGCCAUAUCUACACAGCAUGAGUUAGACCUCCUCACCCGCUCAACUCAAACCUCCUGGAGAGACAGUGAAACUAUCUUGCCUGACCCUGAGCCUGCCUGGCAGGCAGAGCCUGAGCCUGCCGAGACAGGAGUGUGGGAAAGACCACCAUGGUAGGCUUGAAGAGACAAGACCAACUGGCAACAGACAAACACAAAACACAGGUGUAAAUGCACAAUGGCUGACACCUAGUGGAGACAAGCACAAGACAGGUGAAACAGAUCAGAAUGUGACAGAUUCACCAUCUUCAGAGACAGUAGUAAUGUAUUGUACUUAGACAUCACCAGUCUGCAGGCUGUGUAUUAUUGUGCUCGCUACGCACAGUGAUACAAACCAGCAGCAGACCUGUAUAAAAACUCACCCACCCCAUAAACGAUUGGAGUUAUACCCUCUGUAUAAUUUUUUUUUUUAAAUGUUAUUAAAAUAUUGUGGGAUUGAUCCGGUGGUUGUUUCAGAAGUAUGCCCCUGUAUCAUACUAUGAUAACAUGAUAACAGGUUUACUAAUAUUACUCUACUGUCAUGAGUAAUAAUUUGUACUGCAAUUCUCAUACUGUCCUUACAACUCCUCCUCAGGUUUGUGUUGUAAUGGAAAUGUAUUCUCCAUCAAUUUACCUGGUAAAAUAGAUAUAUAGACACACAAACAGCAGGAAUUCUUCUUCAUAACAGAGUAUCUCAAGAUGACCUCAUUCAAGUGAUCUGUAGGUAUUUAUCAAAGCCUCUUGUGAUAUGUCCUCCCAGUGAGGAGCUCAUGUAAAGCUCUCCAGCCCAUCUUUAUUUAGGUCUGCUGAGGACUGUCUCAACUACCUUUAGAGAACUACACAGAUCAACAUGUUUCCUACCACAGGAAUACUCUUACUGACAGUAUAUCUAACAGGUGAGGAUAUUAACAAUGUUUAUCAAAUGAAUAAGUCAACACAUUAGGAUUUAUUUACUUCAAUAUGAUCUCUGCUGUCUAUUUCCACUGUUGUUCAUGGUCAGACACUGACUGAGACUGAGUCUGGACCGGUGGUUAAAAAUCCUGGAGAAUCCCACACACUGAGUUGUACAGCCUAGAUUCACAUUCAGUAGAUACCAUAUGGCUUGGAUGAAACAGGCUCCUGGGAAAGGACUUGAGUUUGUUGCCUUUAUACACACUGGUGGUUCGAGUCCAUUCUAUUCCCAGUCAGUCCAGGGUAGAUUCACCAUCUCCAGAGAUGAC
rnacentral:lncRNA from 1 species